rnacentral:lncRNA from 1 species
UAAUUGAUUGUACUCUAGCUAUCUAAAAUCAAUUAUCAAAUUAUAAAAUACCAAAGCUUACUACUUCCAUCUUGAUUCAACACAUAAUCCAUUCUACAACUAUCAAUUCAAUAAUACUUCUCUCAAUCACAAUUCUUCAUAAGCAAAUAAUAAAAACAAAGAAAACAAAGAGGUAGCACCAAGCUUACCCCGGCUUACGACUCUUAUAGUCUGGCUCUCGGCUUAUGACUCUCACAGUUUGGCUCUAGGCUUACGACUCUUAUAGUUUGGCUCGGACUUAUGACUUUUACAAUCUGGCUCUCGGCUUACGACUCUCAUAGUCUAGCUCUCGGCUUAUGACUCUCACAAUCUGGCUCUCAGCUUACGACUUUCACAGUCUGGCUCCAACUUAUGACUCUCAUAUUCUGACUAUGACUUAUGAUUCCAAUCUCUCUUUUUUCAACCUCUUUAUCCUACUAAAAAGACGAUCCGUCCGACAGCGAAUUCCAAAGGUUAUGAUCCUUUGAAUUCUUAACCAUUUAUUCCUCUAACAACCUACUAUUACUAACUAAACUGCCUAACCAUCAAUCUAAUUUUUAAGGUUAUUAAUAACCAACCAGUAACUUACCACAAAAUUUAUUUAUCUAUUCUAUAUAGCUCCACUCCUAAUUGUGCAGCGUCCUCACAAAUAUUAUUUACAACUUAUAAAGACAUAACACUGUUGGCCUCUUUAGUCAAU